AUGCCAACUCCGGGACCGAUAGAACUGAACCUCCUUUGGGAGAUUAAGCUGUCGUUGAAGAUUAGGAUCUUCCUGUGGCAAUUAGUGCGCGGACGAGUCCCCUCCAGUACGGAGGUGCUGAAGCGUAACGGUCCCUCCGACGGGAUGUGUCCUUUAUGCUUGACCCCGGAGGACUCUAACCACAUAUUCUUCGUAUGCCCGGUGGCGAGAUUCCUCUGGGGUUGUUUUUGGGAGGUUGCAGGUGGCAGAUGGUGCCAUACCAACCUCCCUGAUAUGUUUAGGGAGGUGCUUGAGCCCAUCCAUGCGGCUGGUCGCCGGCCCUUUGGGUGGCUAUUGGUGCCCUUCUUUGGACACUUUGGAAUAUCCAUAAUAAGCUUGUGGUUGAUCAUGUUAUUCCUCUUCGUGCGACUCAUGCAGUAUACAAACUCUAUGGUUUUCUACAGCUAUGGCGGCCGCUUAGUCGGUGCCAGGAUCGGGUCUUCAUCGAUAGGGCCAUCACUUCGCUCUGGUCCAUCGCCGCCCACUUGUCUGCACCGCCGCUCCCCCCUCGCCCCCGAAGCCAGAUUAGUGUAG
rnacentral:rRNA from 1 species